UUUGCAUACAUGCAAUAUAUAUGAAAAUUUGCAAGUAAAAUUACCAAAAGAUAUCGUGUUUUUCGUGCGGAAAUGAAAGCAGGCUAUCAAGUAAUUCAUGCGCAUCCGGCAAACUAUAAACAGGCAAGACACCCAGCUUGUCAAAAGCACAUUCAAUAUCCAGUAUAUGUGAAUCCAUACACACGUUGUCCUUCCCGAGCACGGAAGUUGACAAUGGACAACGCUAGCUGUGAAUCGCCUUCGCCGGAAAACUAUACUGUUCCGAUCGUCGGCUACGAAAUCGUCGAGAAGCGUGAGAGAUUUACGGUUUGUAUGUUUAAAAUUGUACAUGUUCAAUAUUUUGAUCAUGUUCCUCAUUGUCUGGUCGAGUCUGAGCUGUCUGACUGAAACAUACUUGGUUGAUGUCUUUAGUUUAGCAUUUUUUUAGAUAGAAUAAAUGGUCGCUUCACUCCCCAAUUAUCUGUGAUAACGUUUAAAAAAAACAGACUUGUUUAGGGUUUAACUAGAUUUGUAAAUAUUUUGCGAUUUCCCUUUGAUUGUUUACAAAAGCUGGCUCAAGUUAGUAUAAUAAAUAUUUAUAACCGUCUGCUAUAUGUCAUGUUUUGUUUUGAUAUUUAAAAGUGUGAUAUGUUACUUUCCAGUUGUACUGUUGUAUUGGCUGACAGCCAGUUGAAAUCAGUUGAUGC